rnacentral:lncRNA from 1 species
AGAAUCAGCAAGUUUCGAUUUCGGCGAUCCAAGGAUUACCAUGCUUGUUUAGGCAACGAAUUGCCUGUAUGCAUACGCCGUGCAAGAUCAAAUUUCUGAAGGAUAACGUACGAUUAUCAUGACGUUGGCAACUGUACAUGUAUCCUAAUUACGACAUACACUUGCAGGCUAUAGUCAGGUGCUCAUGGCUGGUUCACGUUAAAUGCGGUCGCCGUAUAGUUUUUUUUGUCGUA